CCCCAGAAAGGAAGACACCUUCAGCAUCACCCCCGGUUGAGAACGUGAGCCUAGUGGAGCACGUUACCCGGUUUUAUGGCAUUGAAGGCAGGGCAUCCCAAAGCCCGGCGAGACGUCUGCGACGGACACGCAGUUUGACCCGUGGGUUCCCCGGGACUCGCCCUGCCCGGCUGCUCCCUGUGCUGUGCUCGUCUCCAGACAGCGCUCGGCAAGAGUGGCCAGCGGCUAAGCUCUCUGGCUCUCCUCUGACCUCGAGUCUCUUUGUUUGCCUUGUGCAGCAGCGGUCGAGAGUGGAAAUCUCCACUCAGGGACGGGCCUCCUCUCUGUGCUAGAAUCAGGAGAACGCCACAGGAAAGGAGGCUGCCCAAGGGUCGGGAGGUCCGGUCACUGAGUUCCUACAUGACACUUGCCAGCCCUCAGCGCUUCCGUUUCCUUAUCUCCAUCGGCCGAGAACAGAAAUUGCAGCACCACACUCCUCAGUGCCCAUCACCGAGGCCCAUCCAGAUCGCCACUUCCUUAGAGCCAUGAUGAUGGAUUCCACCAAGGAAAUUUCCACGGAGCCGGGUCACUGAAAAUCAGCCCCACAACCCCCUACUCCCACCCACCCCGAUGGAUCCAGCAACACCUGAUGCUAAACCUAAUUCUAGAUUUUUAAGUUACAUGAGCUAACGCAUUCUCUUUUUUGCUUCCGCAGUAUGAAUCGGGGCUUUGUCAUUCGUAACUCAAAGGGUCCUAAUGCACAGAUUCUUUCCUUUUCCCAAAAUGAGGACCAAAAAAGGGUUUGGCGAGUAUGAGAGUGAGGAGGUCUGGGGCUUUGCUUUUGUUUUCGUCUGAGCCACCCAAACAGGAGGCCUAGAAUGCCAAGAAAGGACAGCAGCUUCUUCAAAUGCAGAAGACUGGGAGACACCUGCUGAGGGGUCUUUGUGAUAAGAGAGCCUCAGCUUUGGACAAGUAGAGUCGAAAAGGGGGCGAGUUGUCUGGAAUAUCUUUUUAUUCGCCUCAAAAUGUAGUUUUCGUGAAUGCUUUUUCCUUAGUUUCUUAGGGCAUGGAAUCCAGCUUGGUUGAAUUUUGUUUAAACACAUUGGCAUAAAUCAUAAAUACCCUUGGGAAAGAACAUUAACCAGCAACCAGCAACAUUAACAUCCCUCCACCCCCACCCGUCUCCUCCAGUUAAAUGGACUGGAACCUCUCCACCUUGUUCCCAAAGGAAACUUCCCUGCCUGUCCUAGAACAUUUCAGAAUUGGGCUCCUGCUGUAAGUUUUAACAUAGCCUCACCACAGCUCAGCCUCCUGGCCGGGCCCCUCCACAGUGAGAGGAAGGCAGGGACCUUGGCAUGGGAACUAACAGCUCUGGGCAUUUCCGGAGUCUGGCUCUUGAAGUUUUUUCCUGGGGCAAAUUCUUCCCUUCCCUUCCCGCCUCCCCAUUCAGGAACCUCAGCGGUGGGAACAUAGCAAAGGCUUUGGUACCGAACAGAUCCGGGGACAAAACCUAGUCUGUCACAUUCUUGCUGUGUCAUCAUGGACAAGUUGCUUAACCUCUCUGAGCCUCAACUUUCUGCACAACGGGGAUGAUAAUACCACCCGCUAUGGAGGGCUGUUUCGGAGAAUUCGACAUUCUAAUGCUUGCACAGCCUGACAUAGUCAACGUCAACGGGAGCACUUGUAUUAGUAGUCGUGGCAUUCUCACGAUUUUUGUUCCUCUGUGUGGAUGCACAUCUUCCUGUGGGUUCCGCUGGGUUCAAAUCCCAGCUGUGCCGUAUGAGAGCUCUGUGACCAGGAACAAGAUUGGCUUAGGGCAGAAAUGAAGAAGGAUAGAGGGGAGAGAGAGACACAGAGAGACGGAGACUGAUGGCAAGCAACUUCCGCAGCAUUCGGCCACCCCGGUUUGAGACUCUCCAUUUUCCGCCUGGUCACCUUUGGAGAUCGAUCUGCCCCAUUCUUUCAAAAGCGAGGGAUUGAUCUUUGUUCCCCAGGAGGCAUCUGAGGUCCCGGAGUCUACAGACAGGGACUGAGAUGUGACAGAGGCUCUGACCACCGACUCCAUGGUACUUUGUUACACGGCACCCCAACAGACUAAGACAAUUGUCACUCACUGCUCUGAAUGCUUCUCCUUCGGCACAUUUGCCACAAGUCUGACGACUUAAGUGUGUGAUAGUUUCUAUAACAGGUAACAGUUUGAGAAAUGGGACCAUGCUUUCCUCUUUGCCUCUUUGGGUAAACAGUCCUUCCCCUUGGUCCUCAGCUAUCCAUCUGCCUGGGGAAGAUGUUCAUCCAUACAGAGGACAAAAAGCAGGAUCGUGGCGAUAUUCAGUUCCUUACAAAUCAAAACACAUUUUGCCACAAGACAGUAGACUUAAAGGCCACCACAGUGAGAAAACAUUUAUUGAAUGUCCUUUAGGUACCAACUAGCAUAGCAAAGGCACAGUACUUUCCCAGACUGUCAAGAGAAUAGAGGUCUCCCUUUACCUAUGCCCCCAGGCUUGCUCCCUACGCAGAAGGAGCACACGCAUGGAUGAAGGACUUCAUCUCAGCUUCAUUCUCAGCUUCAGCCCAGCGAGUGCAGAGGCACGUAGGAGGGUGGUGGCACAGGGUAUGGACACAGGGGCUAUUGGGGCUCAAAUCCCAGUUCCGCCAUCCAAGAGCUCUGUGACCAGGAACAAAUUAUUUCACUUCUCCGUGCCUCAGUCUCCUCAUCUAUAAAACGGGACACAUCGCUUCUCGGCCUUUUGGCUAAGAUCACGUGUAUAAAACAGGACACAGGCUACUUCCUCACAGUGUUGCUAGGCAUAUCUAAUGAGUUACUGCUUGGUAUAGACUCUAAUAUAUAAUGAUUCUAAGUGUCAGCUACUUCUUUAUUAUUUAUUUACUUAUUAUAUUUCUUUGUUUAAUGUCAGUAGAGCCAGCUCCAAAGGCAGAGCUUUGCACUGAUCCUCUGGGGGCUGGAGGAGGAAGUCGCGGGGAGGCCACUGCCCACCAGUUUAAUUUGGGAGAUCAUGAAAAUGCUGCAAGUUGCAAGGAGGGAAGCCUUCCCCAGCGUUGCACUUUCGCUGGCUACACGAGUCCUCCCGUGGCCGGGAUGGGACUCGGGAUGUUCCUUUUCAUGGGGGAGACGCUUUGUUAGGGUCGUGGGCAGCCCCGCAGGGUCCAGAUGCGGUGGAGGCGAGGGCUCUGAGCCAGGGAAGGGACAAGUCAGCCAGGCAGGGCUCGGGGCCUAGACCGUGCGUUCUUCCAGCCGCCAGCUUCAGCCUCAAGGGCCAGAAGGGCCAGUAGUGAUCCCCGACAACAGAGGUGGCUGGAGACCUCGCCUCCCCACCUCUGCCUAGGAGCCUCGGGGACUCUCCUGGGACUCCAGACCCCGUGCCACCUUAGGGGGGCUGAGGAUGGAGAAGGAAAUCUGAGAGCGAGCAUGACCUAAAGACCUAAAGUAGUGGAUCAGAUUCAAUUGACCAGAUUAGACUAAGUCUAGCGUUCUUCCUCGUUGCCCCGGGACUGGGGUUUGUGAGAAAUCUCAGCUCAGUUACAGGAUACAAAGAAAGGACACUUUUUUCUGCAGAGGCACGUGAUAGCGUGGCCUAAGAUGCAGCCUCAACGUCAGUCCCCCAGGAUGCCGCUCCUGGGGGCAGAACCUCACCUGUCGGAACGGUGGGAGGCGUUCCAUAAACACCCCCUCGAUCAGUGAGGGUGCCAUUCAAUCCUGACUCUGACCGGCGACCAACAGGUGGCCCGUGUCUGGGAGUGGGGGAGGCGGAACUCUUUUCUCGCUUCCUUGGGGGAAGGGGGUAGAGGGGGUCCCGCCGCCUGGCCUUCGCCCUCCUCUUCAGCGCGAGCGGGCCCACUGACUUGUCUCUAAGGAGGGAAAGUGACAAAAGUGACGCGACGCCACCUCCACCAUUGGGGACUCAACCCUGCCCACGUGGGCGCAUACACACGUGCACAUCCCUAAGCACGCCCACGUGCGCCCGCACGCCCACGCGCAUGCGCACCUGCACCCGCACGCACGCCCACGGGCAGGCGCACGCACGCGCCCUCCUGGCCGGCUCGCUGCGCUGGAGACGGGGGACGCCGUGGCGGGGAACGGAGGGCCACGCGCCCGAGAAGACGUGAGUCCCGCCCGCACCGCCGAGCGAACUGGGAGGCAGAUCCUGCCCCUGAACCUUGAGACGCCCAGAGCCCCGCCGACACCUCGACACGCCUGUGACGAAGCCUGAAGCCGAGGAUCUGGCCGCCGCACCUGCACCCCGACCCGCAGAAACUUGCUCUACCAAGAGGUGGCGUAACCUCGCGAGGAAGCCAGACGAGACGGAUUCAGACCCAUCUCUGCGGUUUACCACCUGUGUGAUUUCAGGCAAGUUACUUAACCUCUCUGCACCUCAGUUUCCAUAUCCGUGAAGUGGGGCCUAAAAGAGCACCUCUAUCUGUGGGCUCUGAGGGUUGAAUGGAUUAACAGCAGUACACGUAGGGUGUGAGCAACUGUACCUGUCACGGAGUGAGGAUCUGUCCCCACCCGCGACACUCUGUUGCCCCCGCAUGGGAAGAGCCAGACCGAUAGCGGCUAGAGAAGGGAAGGAAGGCGAGAGCAGUGCUGUCCGGGCAAGGUCUGUGAUCCCUCCUCCGCGUUUUUCCCCCCGCUGUGGCACGGCUCUCGGGCUCGGCUCCUCUCCAGGAACAGCCACACCGCAAAGAGGUGAGACAUCACGAACCCGCAGCCCGGUUGAGGCUUUUGGAUAUUCUUAGACCCAGAGAUGCACAGUCAGUGGCAGCGGGGCCUGUCCGCGGUGGUGGUGGUAAAGAGCGGGGGGAGGUGCCACCCGGUCGCGUGGCAAAAAGGAAGACGUCAGACAAAUGCCCUGUGGUAGGGGGCUCGCGUGAAUUGGCACAGCCACGCUGGGAAAUAGUUCAGGACGUUAUUUCCCGUUCCCUGCACCCCAGCAGUUGCGCUUCUGGGCAUGCACGUGAGACCCACGCCGGCGUGCACGGCCCGGGACAGGUGCAAGAAUGCUCAAAGCAGCGCCUUUCAGUUUUGCAGACAGACAAGUGGGAAGCACCCCAAAUGCCUGCGGACGGGGAACACAAGUGGCGACGUGCCGCGUCAUAGCACGCGACAGUAGAAAAGAAAGAAAGGAGGAGCCGUGUGCCGUCACGGGGGUAAAUUUUAGUGGCAGAUGCUUUAUGAAAACAUAAGUGGCGCAAAACAACAUAUAUCUUUUUAUAACCUUUAAAAUUAGUGAAAGUCAAUAUAUCAUUUUUGUAUAAACGCAGAAGCUAUAUAAUUUUUUUCUAAACAAGGGAAGUCGGGAUGAUGAAAACAUUCUGCGAGGGGACAGUGGUGUCGGUUGUCUGACACUGAGAGUGUGUUCGAUGCCAUUAUAAACUUGAAAAUGGUUAAAGUGGUAAAUUUUAUGUAUAUUUUUGCACUAAUUGAGAAAACCUUUUUAAUGUUGAUUUGAGAGAGAGAGAGCAUGCGCACGAGUGUGAGCAGGGGAGGGGCAGAGAGAGAGGGAGACAGAGGAUCCAAAGCAGGCUCCAGGCUCUGAGCUGUCAGCACAGAGCCCAGUGUGGGGCUCAAAUCCACAACGGUGAGAUCGUGCCCUGAGCAAAACCAAGAGUCAGACGCUUAACCGACUGAGCCCCCCUGGGUGACGUGCCACAAUUUUUUUUAAAAAACCAUAGGAAGAUAAACACAAAAUUUAAGCUCAUACCUCCUGCAGUGGGAAGGAGCAUGUAAGCAGAUGUAAAUAGUUGUGAAAGUUCUAGUUCCUGGGCUGGAUGGUGGCUAUACAGGGGCUUUUUUGUUGUUUUUUUUUUUUAAUGUUUAUUUAUCUUUGAGAGAGCAAGACCGAGCGCAAGCGGGGGAGGGGCAGAGAGAGAGGGAGACACAGAAUCCGAAGCAGGCUCCAGGCUCUGAGCUGUCCGCACAGAGCCCGACGCGGGGCUCAAACUCACGAUUUGUGAGAUCAUGACCUGAGCUGAAGUCAGACACUCAACCGACUGAGCCACCCAGGCGCCCCAAUAUACAGGGGUUUUUAUAAAUAAAUGUAGUGAGACUGCUUGAUGGAAGGGGGUGGGACCGUUCCAGGGCCUCUGUCAGCAUGUCUUGAGAAGGUUAUGAUUAACUCGCUUCUACCUGACGUCCACUUUAUAAGUCGAGGAAAGCUCUCGGCACCAGGGGUCUAACGGCUGCUGGACCAGUGAGCAAGGCCUUCAGCCAUUCCCUCUGGUGUGAACCAGGCGUGGGGCUCUUUGGUCCCUGGUGGGUGGGGGCACCCGGUGGUGCACUUAGAGGGCAUGUGUAUGCCACAUGCUUCCUCCUGCAGGGGAUUCCUGUCCCCUCACUCGUUUGGAAGGCAGUGCUGGGCAUGCUCCUCAGAGGGGGGCUCCCAGCCACACGGGGGCGGGGAUGGUGGGUCCAGCUCAGGGGAUAGCCCGGUGACAGCCCCCCGGCCACAACAGAAUCCCAUAAUCUGCCUGGUUCCCAGCGUGUCCACACUCAGGUGUGGAGAUGGUGUUGUUUACAGGGCCCUCCGUGCCCACCUGAGAUAGAUGAGAGGGGUGAGCACAGGGGCCUCGUGAAGAGUCCAGAAUGUGAGCUGGGGUUGGUCUGACAACACAUCCAGUGAUGUACAAUUCAGCUGACUCUCACUGUUAUGCAAAUGAACGGCCACUGCAUAAGUUGGCACAGGCUAUUAGAAUGUGGCAUUCAUAAAUGAAAUGUAGCGUGUGGCUAGAGAUUCCUGGUGACCCUAAUUCAGGGUUCUCCCAAAAAAUCUGCCUGCCUUCUCACCCUUGGCAACAUAGCAAGGCAGGUAUUUCCACAAGUAUUAAUUGAGUGCCUUUAUUGAUUGCCUACUCUGGAAUAUAACACUGAACAAAAUGGGCAAAAAAAACCCCCAAAAACCUGUGCCCUCAGGAAACUCACAUUCCAGUAGGGGACAUUUAAGAAAAGAAAAUGAUACAGUAUGGUAGAUGAUGAUAAGUGAUAAGGAGUGAGCCGUAUGGAGAACAAGUGUCCCAGGCAGAAGGGAAAGCAAUGCAAAGGUCCUGAGGCAGGACUGUGCCUAGCACAACUGAGAACAGCAAGUGUAGCAAGGAGGAGAGCAGGGGGGUAAGUCCCACAUCCUGCUGGGCCCUGUGGGCGUGGUGAGGCCUCGGCCUUUUACUCUGGGUGAGGUGGGACCAGAACU